rnacentral:rRNA from 1 species
CCCUUAGAUGUUCUGGGCCGCACGCGCGCUACACUGACGAAUGCAACGAGCUUAUAACCUUGGCCGAAAGGUCUGGGUAAUCUCCAAAUUUCGUCGUGAUGGGGAUAGAUUAUUGCAAUUAUUAAUCUUCAACGAGGAAUGCCUAGUAAGCGCAAGUCAUCAGCUUGCGUUGAUUACGUCCCUGCCCUUUGUACACACCGCCCGUCGCUACUACUGAUUGGAUGUUUAAGCGAGGUUCUCGAACUGCUAGCGACUUAGCUUCGGUGAGGUCGCAGUGUGGGAAGUGAACCUGGCUUUGGUGUCUAGAGGAAGUAAAAGUCGUAACA